UACGGAGGGUGCAAGCGUUAUCCGGAUUCACUGGGUUUAAAGGGUGCGUAGGUGGGCAGGUAAGUCAGUGGUGAAAUCUCCGGGCUUAACCCGGAAACUGCCAUUGAUACUAUCAGUCUUGAAUACCGUGGAGGUAAGCGGAAUAUGUCAUGUAGCGGUGAAAUGCUUAGAUAUGACAUAGAACACCAAUUGCGAAGGCAGCCUACUACCCGAAUAUUGACACUGAGGCACGAAAGCGUGGGGAUCAAACAGG
rnacentral:rRNA from 1 species